rnacentral:rRNA from 1 species
AGUCGAGCGGGGACUUCGGUCCUAGCGGCGGACGGGUGAGUAAUACUUGGGAAUCUGCCUAGUACUGGGGGACAACGUUUCGAAAGGAACGCUAAUACCGCAUACGCCCUACGGGGGAAAGGGGGGGAUCUUCGGACCUCUCGCUAUUACAUGAGCCCAAGUCGGAUUAGCUAGUUGGUGGGGUAAAGGCCUACCAAGGCGACGAUCCGUAACUGGUCUGAUAGGAUGAUCAGUCACACUGGAACUGAGACACGGUCCAGACUCCUACGGGAGGCAGCAGUGGGGAAUAUUGGACAAUGGGCGAAAGCCUGAUCCAUCCAUGCCGCGUGUGUGAAGAAGGCCUUCGGGUUGUAAAGCACUUUAAGCGAGGAGGAAGGGUUCUUAAUUAAUACUUAAGAGCAUUGACGUUACUCGCAGAAUAAGCACCGGCUAACUCUGUGCCAGCACCCGCGGUAAUACAGAGGGUGCAAGCGUUAAUCGGAAUUACUGGGCGUAAAGCGCGCGUAGGCGGUUGUAUAAGUUGGAUGUGAUAUCCCUGGGCUUAACCUAGGCACUGCAUUCAAACUGUACAGCUAGAGUGUAUGAGAGGAAGGUAGAAUUACCAGGUGUACCUGUGAAAUGCGUAGAGAUCUGGAGGAAUACCGAUGGCGACGGCAGCCUGUCUGGCCUAACACUGACGCUGAUGUGCGACAGCAUGGGGAGCAAACAGAGAUUAGAUACCCUGAUAGUCCAUGCUCGUCAAACGAUGUCUACU